rnacentral:rRNA from 1 species
GUCCUGGCAGUAAACGAUGUAUGCUGGGUGUGGGACUAGCGAUAGUUCCGUGCCGAAGUUAACGCGAUAAGCAUACCGCCUGGGGAGUACGGUCGCAAGAUUGAAACUCAAAGGAAUUGACGGGGGCCCGCACAAGCGGUGGAGCACGUGGUUUAAUUCGAUGCAAACCGAAGAACCUUACCUGGACUUGACAUCCACGCGGUAGAGAAGCGAAAGCGGAUCGACCCUUUCGCAAGGAAGGGAACGUGAACAGGUGCUGCAUGGCUGUCGU